GCCGGAUUUGCAUCUAUAAAGCUUAGUCAUAAAAGCAAAUAGGAAAUGCUGUACCCUGAAGCAGUUCUGUAGAUAGAAAAUCAUUGGUAAUGAUCCAAACAUAAUGAUCCAAACCUGUGUUUUACAGUUAAUUCUGACGAUGAAGAACCCAGAUCUUCCCUGGUACAAAGCCUGAGACCUUCAACCUCUACAUCAAAAAUCAUAUUUACUGGCAUCUUAAAUCCUACCACAUGCAUCAGUGCUAAUGUUACCAUUGUGUUCAUUGUCUCCAAGGAGCAUUACCCAGUUUAUGAUGUGAACAACUUGUACAACACAAACGCUGAAUUUGACUGGGGGGACUUCCGAAGACUUGCAGAGGAAAUAAGAGAGGUUUCCCAAACAUUCCUCCUCUUCCUUUUCCAGUUCCAGCACCCUGGUACCUAUGUGUUACAACUGAGCAGCAAUCAGCACAAAAAAAUGUUCAUUAGGGUCAUGCCACUUGGAGGACAGUGUUACGAAGAGGGGCCAUUCUUCCCCACAACUCCCAGAUAUGCUGUGCAGGUGGGCAUUGCCAAAAAACAAGACCUCCUACUGAAACCUGACUGGACAGCGAUUAUUGGAGUAAUCACGGGACUUCUCACAUUGCUUAUUACCUGUGUGGUGUUGACAGUAAGUAGCAGUUACACAAAAUCUCUUUGCAAAAGAUACUAUAAGAUUUUGUGCAAUGAACCCACAAGCCACCUGUUUCCUCAGGCAUCCC
rnacentral:lncRNA from 1 species